GUUGUUGAAUCGCCUGGUGGAACAAAACGCGUUCGCAUUCCAAGGUUCUGGUUACAGCUGCGCUGCAGUCUUAAGCAAGAGAAAUCCCUGAUGGAGCAGCACAUGAUGGACAGAAAUGUGAUUCACUUUAAGGGAGUGAACAGUCUAUCAAGUGCAGCAAACUGGGUUUCUGAAAACACAAGUGGACCCUGCUGACAUGAUCAUUGAUCAACGAAUGCCAAGUAUACGCGGAUCAAUGAAUAUGCCAAUUAGCCCCGCCUCCACUCGCUCACACCAGCUCAG